GAUGAAGAACGUAGCGAAAUGCGAUAAGUAAUGUGAAUUGCAGAAUUCAGUGAAUCAUCGAAUCUUUGAACGCACCUUGCACCCUUUGGCAUUCCGAAGGGUAUGCUCGUUUGAGUGUCAUUGUACUCUCACACUUCCAAUUCUUUGGAUUGGGAGCGGUGGACUUGGGUGCUGCUGCUUACCGUGGCUCACCUCAAAUGUGUUAGUGCAACCGUUGGUUAGACAUAGUACAGCGUGAUAAGUAUCUUCGCUGGCGCCUCACUCGAGGGUGGCUGAUCAGGGCUCUGUGCUCCGAAUCGUCUUCGGACAAUCACUGACAACUUGACCUCAAAUCGAGUAGGACUACCCGCUGAACUUAAGCAUAUCAAUAAGCGGAGGA
rnacentral:misc_RNA from 1 species